GACGAACGUUGGCGGCGUGCUUAAUACAUGCAAGUCCACUGAAGCAGUGGUAGCAAUAUCGCUGUGGAGGUGGCGCACGGGUGAGUAACACGUAGGUAAUCUGCCUUCAGGUCUGGCAUAACUCCGGGAAACCGGGGCUAAUAGCAGAUGAUGCAGCGGCUCGACAUCGAGACAGUUGUUAAAGCUAUGGCGCCUGAAGAUGAGCCUGCGUCUGAUUAGCUAGUUGGCGGGGUAACGGCCCACCAAGGCAACGAUCAGUAGCUGGUCUGAGAGGAUGAUCAGCCACACUGGAACUGAGACACGGUCCAGACUCCUACGGGAGGCAGCAGUAAGGAAUAUUGCUCAAUGGGAGAAAUCCUGAAGCAGCAACGCCACGUGAGGGACGAAGGGCUUUGGCUUGUAAACCUCUGUAGUGAGAGAAAAAAAUCCCAAUCUUUGGGACAUGAUGGUAGCUCAAAAGUAAGCCCCGGCUAACUACGUG
rnacentral:rRNA from 1 species